UUAAAAUGCAUUAAAUUAUACAAAUAGGUAAGGUUAAAAGGUAUUAGAAUAAAUUUUUUAUCGAGCAAAAAAAAGAGAAUGGCGGCACUGCAGCUGUUCAAACUUAGUUCCUUAAUUUUGCGCUGUGGAUUGGCCAGGUCUUUGUAAUUAACAAAAAUCGACAAACCAAAUUAUUUAAUAAAUUGAGAUUUUCUGCUUUUAACUAAUUUCAAUUGAGUAAGAGAAAAAAUUAAUUCAAAAUUUAAAAACAUUAAAAAAAAGAACUUUAAAGUAAAUGCAUUUUUUAAGCAACAAAUUUAUUAUAUGAGGUUUCGCGCUAAUGUUUUUAUUCAUAAAAUUUUUUGGACAAUUUAUAUAAGCGAAAUUUUUGGUUUUUAUAAAUUAAAUUUCAUUUUCUUAACCCUUUAAUGGCCGAGUUUUUUGUCGUUACUUUAGACUUAUAAUGUAUAUUAGAUUUAAUUACUAAAGUAUUCAGUAUGAGAAAAAUUUUUUUUUUAACAUGUCUCACCCCUUAAAACCACCCCCACGGUACAUUACUACCCCAAAAAACUGAUAUUUAACUAAAUUGAUGAAUUAAAUAUUUUUCAGCUCUUAUCUACUUUUUAUUUAUUUAUAAACAUUGCCUGGUUGCUUAAAAAUUGAAAAGGAACAAUAACCCCUUGAAAACACCCUUAAAGUCAAAUAAUCAUCCCUUGACGGUGAAAGUUUUUGUAAAUGAUUAAAAAAAAUCUAUAGAUUCUAAUUGCUUCUAAAUUAUAAACAAUUAUUUGAAAGUUAUACAGACAUAGAUAAUAAUAAUAAUAAACUCACCCCCUACCCUUGAAGCCCACCCCUAAUUCAUAACUAUUCUCAGUUUGGAACAAUCAAAAAAAUAAUUUUCACUGAUUUUCGAAAAUAUGAAAAAAAAAUGUUCUAUGAUAACUAAGUAUUAAUACUAAAUAUAAACAACCCCUGAAAAACAACCCUUAAGUCAAAUAACCACCCCUUAAUGAUAAAUGUUUUUGUGAAUAAAUGAAAAAAAUUAUAUGGAUUCUAAGUGCUUCUGAAUUGUAAAAAAGUAUUUCAAUGUUUCACAGAUAUGGAUAAUAAUAAUAAACUCACCCCCUACCCUUGAUAUCCACCCCUAAUUCAUAAGUUAUAAGAUACUGAAUUCAGUUUUCAACAAUCAGAAAAAUAAUUUUCACUGAUUAUUAUCACAUUGAGUAAUGCAUUGAGUACAUACUCAAUGCACUCCCCUCCACGAUGGCGUAGAGGGGAGUGCAUUGGGUAAAUGAAAGGGGGGGUACGACAGUAGCAAAGAAGCUCCCAUGUGGAACUGCUGUUAUAAGGCAAUCAGCGCGUCGUUUCGUUUUCUCUGUGUAGCGUUCUCCCACUACCUCACCGAUUAAGCCUGGCAAUUAGAAAGAAGUCCAGAAUCAGAGAAUUCUAUAAAAACAAACCUUUGAAAAGCUCCACAAUUGAAUUUAAGAUAUCCUCUCAAAAACUGAUUAAAUACUUAUAAUCAACAAAACGCUCGAUGAUUGUUUCCAAUUCUUGGGCCGAGAAAAAAUUGCAGAAAUAUUUCCCAAAGCGGGGCCUUACUCAAAAUUUCUUAUGUUAUAUAAUAAAUGGAUUCAGGAUAACGACAAAAAUGCACCAACUUCAUCAACUGUUAACAAUGCAAUAACGGUAGCAAGAGAUAUUAAGGGAAUAUAUAAAGUUGGUGUCGAUGGGAUUUUAGAAGAAGUCAACAUCCUUCAGGAUACAAUCGCUCAAAACGCUGACCCAGAAAAUAAUAAAUCUGUCAAAGAGGUCAAUAAUAUUUUGCAAUCAAGAAAACGGUCUGCAGAAGCAACACCAAGUUUUACCGAAAAAAGAAUAAAAGUUGCAUCAGAUUCCAUCUAUUCUUGUAUUAUCAAAGAAGGUCCAAUCUAUGAAUCACUCGUCAAUAAUUUUAAUGGACAUAUAGCAAUUGCGGAGUAUGGGCUUAAAUGAUUUUUAAGCUCAAAAUCGCAGCAAAUCGUUGCUGAGUGUAUUCUCCUUCACGAAUUGAAAGGAGAUAUUUAUAAACAAAUAAAUCGAGAAAGAUUUUCAGAGCUUUCAGAAGGAAUCGAGUUAAUGUUUCCUUGUGAGAAAAGGGAAACAUACUAUAUUCCAUAUUAUAAAAACGAAUCUGGAAAAAACUUUAGUGCUUCUGUAAAACUUGUAGAUUUAUUCUACAAUAUAAGAAAAAGAGCUGUUCGUUCCGGUAUAAAAAGUUGUAAAAAAACAUUGGUCCUAAAAUCUAUUGAAAACGAUGCUUAGAAUGACGAUUUUACAACAAAUACGGAUUUUUUAAAUAAAAUUAAUUCCCUAUUACUCACCUGCACACCAUGGCAAGAUUGUGUUGAAAAAUGGAGGGAUACUCUUAAGUAUCGAAUGCACGAAAUUCACACAACUGUAACUGCAACUACUACAACGAGAGGAGGCAAAGAAAGAAAUGUACCUACUAAUAAAGCCUCAUUUUAUAUUGAAAAAUAUAGAGGAUUGAGUGAAGCUUUAGGAUACACUUUGUUUGAAUUGGACUACUCAUUACUGUAUCCUGGAACUGAAGAGAACUUUUUAUUUUUGUGGCCAACUUUUAAAAAGAACGUUCUCUCUGUUUUGCAACGUAGCAAAACUGAUUUAUUAGAAGCAAACAAUAGUGAUUUGUGAAAUAAGUGAUGCACAUCUUUUAAUGCAAUUAUCUUCGCUUAUAAAACCUAAGUUAAUUAAUAAUGGUGAGAAGAGAUGGAAACCUACUAGAGAAGUUAUUCAAGAAUGGUUUCUGCUCCAUGUGACUAGUAUUGGUGAUGUAAAUCUGCCAUUAAAAGAGUGAGGGACUGAGCAACAGCCCGACAUGAGACAACUCAGCCAUUUGCAGUGAUUGUAGGAGAAGAUUUAGAUCAUAUCACAGUUUCAUUGACUUCAGUAGAUAAUCUUUUAUAUAGCGUUGAUUCUCCUGUAAGAGCGUUUGAUGUAACGUUUAAGAUUUUUCAUGCUGAAUAUCCCAAACAUGCCGAACAUCUAUGGCUACUUCUACAAAUUUGUGUGUACGUUAUAAAAACAAAAUGGGAUAACAGUAAGCACAUACAUAGUGUAAGUUCUUUGAUUAAAGAUUUAAAGUGUAUUGAAUAAACCCUAUUGUGAUAAAAUGCCUAAAUUUUUUCAAUGUAAUGUUGAAACAUUCUUCCCAUCUAUUCAAGACUUAUGGAUACACUACAAAAUAACCCAUCUUAUGUCUAUUACAUCUUAAACCACGUUAACAAAUUAAAACGCUCACAGACUGAGAUUAGUAAUUUUAUUCAAGGAGAGUUAUGGAAAAGGAAACCGUUUAUGAAGCUAAAUUUUCUUGCACGUGAAGGUAUAUUAAUUAAUACUGCAUUUGUUAUUCAACGCGUGUACUUUCUUCUUGGCUUAAUAUUGGGAGAUAAUAAAGGACUAAAUGAAGUAUUAGGAUUUCCUGGUAGCUUUAAUGCCAAUUAUUUUUGUCGCUUUUGUAAAAGACAUAAAAGUGAUUGUGCGAAAGAUGUUUCUAAACAACGUGAUUUUUUAAGAAAACCCAUAGAUUAUGAGACAGAUAUUACCAACGGUUUUGAUGUUUCUGGUAUUAAAGAAAAAUCCAUUUGGCUUGAUGUAGAUCACUUUCAUCCUUAUGAAAACUUUGCUGCGUGCGCCCUUCAUGACUUUGAUAAAGGAAUGAGCACUUAUGGAAUGCCUCUUGUGUGCGAAUACUUUAUUGUAAAAGUAAAAGCUUUCGACUUUGAACUUUUAAAUGAAAGAUUGUUAGGAUUUAAUUAUCAAAUAAAUGGAUUUUUGAAUAUACCAUGUGUCAUAACUGUGGAUAAUUUAAAAAAAACUCAAUUUUCUAAUGUCUGGAAGUGAAUGCGAACGUUCGUUUUAUGUUUUCAUUUUCUAGUAGGUGAUUAUGUUUCUUUGGACAAUGAUGUUUGGAAAUAUUACCUCGUGUUGCGUCGAUUAGUAGAAUUUGUAUCCUGUAGAAUUUUUCCAAAAAAUCGUCUGAUACUACUUCAGAACUUGACAAAAAAACAUAAUUACUAGUGUCAAAAGGUAUUUGGUCAACUGAAACCAAAAAUGCAUACACUAACACAUUAUAAUCUUAUUUUAGUUGAAUCUGGACCAAUACCUUUCCUUAGCAUGAUAGGUAAUGAAGGACAGCACAAAGAAGUCAAGUAAAGUGCAUCAGCUACGAAAUCGAGAAAAAAUGUAACACGAACACUUGCUGUCAAACAGCAACUACAACUUUGUUACCGAUUUUUUUCCGAAGAAAGUUUAAAAAACGACCUUCUGUCAGGGCGCAGUCAAAUUGUCAAUAAUGCUAUGUUGAUAAAAGGCUAUCAACAAUUUUCUAACACUUUUCCAGACACCUUUAAAAAUGACGCGUGUGUUCUUGUAAAAUGGGUUACAUUUAACGGUAUAACGCAUCGUAAUGAAAUGUGCGAUAAUGGUAUUUUGCCAUCAUUUGGAAUUAUUAAAAAGAUUUUAUUUAAUUCUAAUGCGGAUCAAGCAUGUUUAAUUUGUUUGAAAUUAUCCAAUCUUGGUUUCGAUUCAAGCAUGGGAGCAUAUGAAAUUGAAUAUGAUAUUCAGUGGCAGUGUAAUUUAAUUAAUAAAUUACUAAGUCCAUUUCCAGCAAUAAAAGCAGUAUUAAGUAAUGGAAAAAAAUUUGUCGGACUCCGAAAUUUAUUAUAAAUGUAUAAAAAUAACAAAUACACUGAGAAAAUUUUAGGGAGACUCCAGGCUUUUUAUGGUACCCACCAGAGCUCUCUGUAUCAGGACUCGCAGUUCGCCUUAAAAA